rnacentral:rRNA from 1 species
CAGUCCCGCGGUAAUACAGAGGGUGCAAACGUUGUUCGGAAUUACUGGGCGUAAAGCGCGUGUAGGCGGUCCUGCAGGUCGGAUGUGAAAGCCCUUGGCUCAACCAAGGAAGUGCAUUCGAAACCUCAGGACUUGAGUGUCGGAGAGGAAGGUGGAAUUCUCGGUGUAGAGGUGAAAUUCGUAGAUAUCGAGAGGAACACCGGCGGCGAAGGCGGCCUUCUGGACGAACACUGACGCUGAGACGCGAAAGCGUGGGGAGCAAACAGGAUUAGAUACCCGGGUAGUCCCUGUCUCUUAUACA